GGGGGUGUAGCUCCAUGGUAGAGCACUUGCCUAGCAUGCUGGAGGCCCCAGGUUCCAUCCCUAGCACCUACC
rnacentral:tRNA from 1 species